UACGAGAGUGGCAAGCGUUAUCCGGAAUUAUUGGGCGUAAAGCGUCCGCAGGCGGUCUUGUAAGUCUGUUGUUAAAGCGUGCAGCUUAACUCCAUUUCAGCAAUGGAAACUGUAAGACUAGAGUGUGGUAGGGGCAGAGGGAAUUCCCGGUGUAGCGGUGAAAUGCGUAGAUAUCGGGAAGAACACCAGUGGCGAAGGCGCUCUGCUGGGCCAUAACUGACGCUCAUGGACGAAAGCCAGGGGAGCGAAAGGGAUUAGAUACCCCUGUAGUCCUGGCCGUAAACGAUGAACACUAGGUGGCGGGGGAAUCGACCCCCUCGGUGUCGUAGCCAACGCGUUAAGUGUUCCGCCUGGGGAGUACGCACGCAAGUGUGAAACUCAAAGGAAUUGACGGGGGCCCGCACAAGCGGUGGAGUAUGUGGUUUAAUUCGAUGCAACGCGAAGAACCUUACCAGGGUUUGACAUCCUGCGAAUCUUUUGGAAACAGAAGAGUGCCUUCGGGAACGCAGUGACAGGUGGCGCAUGGCUGUCGUCAGCUCGUGUCGUGAGAUGUUGGGUUAAGUCCCGCAACGAGCGCAACCCACGUCGUUAGUUGCCAGCAUUGAGUUGGGCACUCUAGCGAGACCGCCGGUGAUAAACCGGAGGAAGGUGUGGAUGACGUCAAGUCAUCAUGCCCCUUACAUCCUGGGCUACACACGUACUACAAUGCUACGGACAAAGGGCAGCAAACUCGCGAGAGCUAGCAAAUCCCAUAAACCGUGGCUCAGUUCAGAUCGUAGGCUGCAACUCGCCUACGUGAAGGAGGAAUCGCUAGUAAUCGCAGGUCAGCAUACUGCGGUGAAUACGUUCCCGGGCCU
rnacentral:rRNA from 1 species